rnacentral:rRNA from 2 species
GGGUUGUGAGGUUAAGCGACUAAGCGUACACGGUGGAUGCCCUGGCAGUCAGAGGCGAUGAAGGACGUGCUAAUCUGCGAUAAGCGUCGGUAAGGUGAUAUGAACCGUUAUAACCGGCGAUUUCCGAAUGGGGAAACCCAGUGUGAUUCGUCACACUAUCAUUAACUGAAUCCAUAGGUUAAUGAGGCGAACCGGGGGAACUGAAACAUCUAAGUACCCCGAGGAAAAGAAAUCAACCGAGAUUCCCCCAGUAGCGGCGAGCGAACGGGGAGCAGCCCAGAGCCUGAAUCAGUGUGUGUGUUAGUGGAAGCGUCUGGAAAGGCGCGCGAUACAGGGUGACAGCCCCGUACACAAAAAUGCACAUGCUGUGAGCUCGAUGAGUAGGGCGGGACACGUGGUAUCCUGUCUGAAUAUGGGGGGACCAUCCUCCAAGGCUAAAUACUCCUGACUGACCGAUAGUGAACCAGUACCGUGAGGGAAAGGCGAAAAGAACCCCGGCGAGGGGAGUGAAAAAGAACCUGAAACCGUGUACGUACAAGCAGUGGGAGCACGCUUAGGCGUGUGACUGCGUACCUUUUGUAUAAUGGGUCAGCGACUUAUAUUCUGUAGCAAGGUUAACCGAAUAGGGGAGCCGAAGGGAAACCGAGUCUUAACUGGGCGUUAAGUUGCAGGGUAUAGACCCGAAACCCGGUGAUCUAGCCAUGGGCAGGUUGAAGGUUGGGUAACACUAACUGGAGGACCGAACCGACUAAUGUUGAAAAAUUAGCGGAUGACUUGUGGCUGGGGGUGAAAGGCCAAUCAAACCGGGAGAUAGCUGGUUCUCCCCGAAAGCUAUUUAGGUAGCGCCUCGUGAAUUCAUCUCCGGGGGUAGAGCACUGUUUCGGCAAGGGGGUCAUCCCGACUUACCAACCCGAUGCAAACUGCGAAUACCGGAGAAUGUUAUCACGGGAGACACACGGCGGGUGCUAACGUCCGUCGUGAAGAGGGAAACAACCCAGACCGCCAGCUAAGGUCCCAAAGUCAUGGUUAAGUGGGAAACGAUGUGGGAAGGCCCAGACAGCCAGGAUGUUGGCUUAGAAGCAGCCAUCAUUUAAAGAAAGCGUAAUAGCUCACUGGUCGAGUCGGCCUGCGCGGAAGAUGUAACGGGGCUAAACCAUGCACCGAAGCUGCGGCAGCGACGCUUAUGCGUUGUUGGGUAGGGGAGCGUUCUGUAAGCCUGCGAAGGUGUGCUGUGAGGCAUGCUGGAGGUAUCAGAAGUGCGAAUGCUGACAUAAGUAACGAUAAAGCGGGUGAAAAGCCCGCUCGCCGGAAGACCAAGGGUUCCUGUCCAACGUUAAUCGGGGCAGGGUGAGUCGACCCCUAAGGCGAGGCCGAAAGGCGUAGUCGAUGGGAAACAGGUUAAUAUUCCUGUACUUGGUGUUACUGCGAAGGGGGGACGGAGAAGGCUAUGUUGGCCGGGCGACGGUUGUCCCGGUUUAAGCGUGUAGGCUGGUUUUCCAGGCAAAUCCGGAAAAUCAAGGCUGAGGCGUGAUGACGAGGCACUACGGUGCUGAAGCAACAAAUGCCCUGCUUCCAGGAAAAGCCUCUAAGCAUCAGGUAACAUCAAAUCGUACCCCAAACCGACACAGGUGGUCAGGUAGAGAAUACCAAGGCGCUUGAGAGAACUCGGGUGAAGGAACUAGGCAAAAUGGUGCCGUAACUUCGGGAGAAGGCACGCUGAUAUGUAGGUGAAGUCCCUCGCGGAUGGAGCUGAAAUCAGUCGAAGAUACCAGCUGGCUGCAACUGUUUAUUAAAAACACAGCACUGUGCAAACACGAAAGUGGACGUAUACGGUGUGACGCCUGCCCGGUGCCGGAAGGUUAAUUGAUGGGGUCAGCGCAAGCGAAGCUCUUGAUCGAAGCCCCGGUAAACGGCGGCCGUAACUAUAACGGUCCUAAGGUAGCGAAAUUCCUUGUCGGGUAAGUUCCGACCUGCACGAAUGGCGUAAUGAUGGCCAGGCUGUCUCCACCCGAGACUCAGUGAAAUUGAACUCGCUGUGAAGAUGCAGUGUACCCGCGGCAAGACGGAAAGACCCCGUGAACCUUUACUAUAGCUUGACACUGAACAUUGAGCCUUGAUGUGUAGGAUAGGUGGGAGGCUUUGAAGUGUGGACGCCAGUCUGCAUGGAGCCGACCUUGAAAUACCACCCUUUAAUGUUUGAUGUUCUAACGUUGACCCGUAAUCCGGGUUGCGGACAGUGUCUGGUGGGUAGUUUGACUGGGGCGGUCUCCUCCUAAAGAGUAACGGAGGAGCACGAAGGUUGGCUAAUCCUGGUCGGACAUCAGGAGGUUAGUGCAAUGGCAUAAGCCAGCUUGACUGCGAGCGUGACGGCGCGAGCAGGUGCGAAAGCAGGUCAUAGUGAUCCGGUGGUUCUGAAUGGAAGGGCCAUCGCUCAACGGAUAAAAGGUACUCCGGGGAUAACAGGCUGAUACCGCCCAAGAGUUCAUAUCGACGGCGGUGUUUGGCACCUCGAUGUCGGCUCAUCACAUCCUGGGGCUGAAGUAGGUCCCAAGGGUAUGGCUGUUCGCCAUUUAAAGUGGUACGCGAGCUGGGUUUAGAACGUCGUGAGACAGUUCGGUCCCUAUCUGCCGUGGGCGCUGGAGAACUGAGGGGGGCUGCUCCUAGUACGAGAGGACCGGAGUGGACGCAUCACUGGUGUUCGGGUUGUCAUGCCAAUGGCACUGCCCGGUAGCUAAAUGCGGAAGAGAUAAGUGCUGAAAGCAUCUAAGCACGAAACUUGCCCCGAGAUGAGUUCUCCCUGACUCCUUGAGAGUCCUGAAGGAACGUUGAAGACGACGACGUUGAUAGGCCGGGUGUGUAAGCGCAGCGAUGCGUUGAGCUAACCGGUACUAAUGAACCGUGAGGCUUAACCUUACAACGCCGAAG